rnacentral:rRNA from 1 species
AGAAUCAACGCUGGCGGCGUGCCUAACACAUGCAAGUCGAACGAGAAAGUGGAGCAAUCCAUGAGUAAAGUGGCGCACGGGUGAGUAACACGUGACUAACCUACCUUUUAGUGGGGGAUAACCUAGGGAAACCUGGGCUAAUACCGCAUAACACUUACGAGUCAAAGCAGCAAUGCGCUGAAAGAGGGGGUCGCGGCCGAUUAGCUAGUUGGCGGGGUAAUGGCCCACCAAGGCAGUGAUCGGUAUCCGGCCUGAGAGGGCGCACGGACACACUGGAACUGAAACACGGUCCAGACUCCUACGGGAGGCAGCAGUGGGGAAUUUGCGCAAUGGGGGAAACCCUGACGCAGCAACGCCGCGUGGAGGAUGAAGUCCCUUGGGACGUAAACUCCUUUCGAUCGGGACAUAAUGACGGUACCGGAAGAAGAGCCCGGCUAACUUCGCGCCAGCAGCCGC